AGGUGUGGAGCAGUGCAGUCUCGUGCAGGACCCUUCGGGUGCGCAGACAGACGCAAAGACACUGUCAGAUGGGGAUAGACUGACCUCUGAACUCCGAGACAUCAUUAAUUCAUUUACACAGAAGGUGGAUGAAUUCAAAACAUGUGUCCAAACCAUGACAAUGAAUGUGGAAGAACAACAGAUGGUGCUGAAGAGCAUGAUGGAGGCUCAGGAUCAGCUGGAGAGGAAUUACCUCACAAAACGUGAGGAGCAUCGUGCUCUUGAGAUGCAAAACUACAUGGGGAUAUCCAGAAACACAGGAGAGUUUGACCCUGACAGG